rnacentral:ncRNA from 1 species
ACGAGCCACAUGCAGGGAAACUUGCACGUGUGGUUCUAGCCAGAUAUGCUUUAGUGAGGUUUCAAUCCAAUUGUGAUAUUAAUUCCCUGGUAGGAUGGCCUCAUCUGAU